rnacentral:rRNA from 1 species
UAAGGAAUAUUGGUCAAUGGGCGGAAGCCUGAACCAGCCAUGCCGCGUGCGGGAAGAAGGCCCUCUGGGUUGUAAACCGCUUUUGUCAGGGAAGAAUGGAGAGGAUUCAUCCUCUUAGGGACGGUACCUGAAGAAUAAGCACCGGCUAACUCCGUGCCAGCAGCCGCGGUAAUACGGAGGGUGCAAGCGUUAUCCGGAAUCACUGGGUUUAAAGGGUACGUAGGCGGUUUUAUAAGUCAGGUGUGAAAUACCGCGGCCUAACUGCGGAACUGCACUUGAUACUGUAAAACUUGAGUAGGGUGGAGGUACACGGAAUGCAUCAUGUAGCGGUGAAAUGCUUAGAUAUGAUGUAGAACACCGAUAGCGAAGGCAGUGUGCCAUACCUUAACUGACGCUGAGGUACGAAAGCGUGGGGAGCAAACAGG